AUGGGAAGGCCAACAUCCUUUUGUCGCCCGUUAGCAAGACCGAAACUAGAUGCGUCGAGCUGCCUAAGAUUGGAUAAGAAUCUUACUCCCGCACCGGAACUCUUGCUUCUUGGCCAAGAGAGGCUUCUCGCUCUACUAUUGGAUUUGAACCAAGAAAGUCUUCCAACUCUGCCUUUUAGGGUAAGAUACCCUGGCUUUCAGUUGCAGUACUGGUCAUUGGCGACCUUGGGACGCAUCUCAAGUGUACUGGGCACCCCCUCUUUGCUUAUAGACUCAGCACAGAAAAAGCAAGGCUCUCCUUUGAGAUCAGGAUGUUCUACCGCUUUUCCCAGGGAAGGCAUAUACUACUGA